rnacentral:misc_RNA from 1 species
GAAGUUUCCUUCCUUGAUCAAUAUUUCCUAGAUUAGCUUCAAAAACUCCCCAUACAUGCCACGCGAACCUAUUUUUCGGACUGGCUUGAACUGCUUUCUCAAACAGCUGCCUAGCGGAACGGUUAUUCUCUAACUGAGCCUCUAGUUGAGCCCAUGCCAGCCAACUAGCACAACUUUUUCGGUUACACCUUGUUGCCUGCUUGAACAAAUAUCG